GCAUAGUAGCUGAGGGGAUAAAGCGCUUAUAGCUAUUUCCCGUAGGUCGAUGGUUCGAUUCCAUCCUGGAGCA